GACGAACGCUGGCGGCGUGCCUAAUACAUGCAAGUAGAACGCACAGUUUAUACCGUAGCUUGCUACACCAUAGACUGUGAGUUGCGAACGGGUGAGUAACGCGUAGGUAACCUGCCUGGUAGCGGGGGAUAACUAUUGGAAACGCUAGCUAAUACCGCAUAAUAUUAAUUAUUGCAUGAUAAUUGAUUGAAAGAUGCAACUGCAUCACUACCAGAUGGACUUGCGUUGUAUUAGCUAGUAGGUGAGGUAACGGCUCACCUAGGCGACGAUACAUAGCCGAACGGAGAGGGUGGGCGGCCACACUGGGACUGUGACACGGCACAGACUGCUACGGGAGGCAGCAGUAGGGAAUCUGCGGCAAUGGGCGGAAGUCUGACCGAGCAACGCCGCGUGAGUGAAGAAGGUUUUCGGGUCGUAAAGCUCUGUUGUAAGGGAAGAACGGGUGUGAGAGUGGAAAGUUCACACUGUGACGGUAUCUUACCAGAAAGGGACGGCUAACUACGUG
rnacentral:rRNA from 1 species